rnacentral:rRNA from 1 species
CCCUUAGAUGUUCUGGGCCGCACACGCGCUACACUGAAGGAGGCAGCGUGUACUCCUGGAUCGAAAGAUUUGGGUAACCCGCGAAUCUCCUUCGUGCUAGGGAUUGAGGUUUGCAAUUAUCCUUCAUGAACGAGGAAUUCCUAGUAAGCGCAAGUCAACAGCUUGCGCUGAUUACGUCCCUGCCCUUUGUACACACCGCCCGUCGCUCCUACCGAUUGGGUGAUCCGGUGAAUGGUUCGGACUCUGGCUAUGCUAGCUACUAGCUACGUCAGGGAAAGUUCUGUGAACCUUAUCACUUGGAGGAAGGAGAANUCGUANCA